AUUAAUGCUUAAACGCUGACACACACACACACACACACACACAGCAGUGAUAGUAGGUAGUAGAUAGUAGGUGCACUGUUCAGACAGUCAGGAGCUGGUACACAUCCGGCACCGUUUUAUUCUCUUUACCAAACAACAACAACAACAAAACAACACAUGGGGUACCCACAAACCCAAAGAAAACGCGCGCGCGACCCCACUGUAGUACAAGACUACAGGUUACCAUGGUUACCGCAGUGAAUAAAAGAGUUAAUCAUCGUUGGAGUGGUUGGAUGAAUAGAUGAGCUUGUACCUGUUUUUAAGCUCCCGUAUGUGACCACAGAGCGGCAGCAGAGCUCCAUCAUGCGCCGUGAUGCUCUAGAACAUGGGAUAUGAAAAUGAAGAAUAUGAAAAUGGAUUAAAAAUGACAAAUUCAAGGACAAUAUUAAUACAGAAGUGCAGACAAAACAGAAACAGAAAUACGCCGUCUUGUGCAUGCAGUGUUUUUCUUUUCACAUCCUUUAUCAUGACAGAGAGAGAAGAUCACAGAUCAGUGUUCACACUGACAUGCUGUGUUAAAAACCCUGUGGUUUCGUGGAUCACUCGUGUAUGUGGCAUCAUGAAUUAAACACCGAGCUGAAUGAAAGAGCGUGUCCUUGCAGAAAAGGAAGUGCUGUGUAUGUGAAUGAGAUUAAACCAUGGAUGAUG